GCAAAGUAUGUUUCUCUUAAGCAUUCAUCGAAAGUGGCGACGGUAAGCAAAGAAGUGAGCUUUCCUCAGUAAAGUGCUUGCCAAACUUGGUAAGAUGUAUUAACUCUCAUCACACCGUGUGCUAGGGUCGUGGUUUACGAAGGAACUAAGGAGCCGAAAGGUUUGUGUCUCUGCUAAAACUGGAAAAUCCUUUUCCUCAAAUUUCCCAGCAUGGCUUAUCGUAUGGGAUAAAAUAUCCCUUUUCGCCUCGUUAUGAUUUAUUUUUACCAACGCAAAAUCAGUCUAGUUUUAUUUUUGCAAACGCCGCAACCUCUACCGAAGCACAACUCAAAUCCUGUCAUGUUGAGUUGGAUUAAUCUUUGGAAUAUGUGAAGGCUGGCUAUUUUUCCGAUAACUGUUUCAGAUGCGUAUUGUUGUGCAGGAUUUAUUUCGAUUAGCUAACUUUAAGUAACAGUAACAGUUGUCUUCAUGGCUUAAGUUCUAAAAUGUUUGCAAUAAAUUUAAUUGAUGUGCAUUUAAUCAAUAUACAAAGCUAACAUUCCUCUGUUUGAUGUGAGAUGCAGAAAUAAGAAUUUUAUGUUUGGGUUUGUAUCGUUGAUCAAAAUAAUUGGAAAUAAACUACAGUCAGAGUUCAAUACUUGAACACUUUUAAGUUGGUAUGCUUUUAAAUUGAACGCUCGAUAGUUGGCUGAAAGUUCAAUGAAAAUACAUACGUCUGCAUGGAAAAAUCAGGUUCUGACCAAUUUACAAAAAUCUCAUGGCCUGCCCAGAAAAAUUUCAGAAAAAUUGUGUGUGGAAAAACAUGCCAACUAACAAAACAAGCACAUAUUCAAUAGUUCAAUAGUUGGCCGGUCUCGUAGUACAGUCAUCAACUCGUACGACUUAACAACAUGCCCGUCAUGGGUUCAAUCCCCAAAUAGACCGCGUCGCCAUACGUAGGACUGACUAUCCCGCUAUGGGGGGGGGGAAUCAAUUAGUCACUGAAAGCCAAGCUCACAAAUGGGUACAGGCAGGCCUUGACCGACAUCGGUUGUUGAGCCAAAGAAGAAGAAGAAGAUUCAAUAGUUGACAAGGAAUCGAAGAUCAUCCAGUGAGUUACAGACUGUAUAGCAAUUAUGUCUCUGUGUUUGAAAGUCUGGUAAAAAAUACUGCUGUAAUACGUAUUUUAUUGGCUUUGAAACCUGUCUUUUUAAAGCAUUACGGCAAAGUCAUCCCUCCUGAAUAACAAAAAAAACUGUCUUUUUGUUUUAUUAUCAAUAUGUAAAGUUAGUGCCAAAAAGCCUAAAAGGAACAGAACUCAAAUUUGGAAAAAAAAAUAAAAAGCUUUCUACGGUAAACGUAAUUAAUCAAAUUAUAGAAAUAUGGUCAUUUUUCACAUCAAAAAACUAGCUUUUCAAUAUGCAUUCUAAAUCCGAAUAAAACAAUAUCUUUUGCCAACUAUUUUGCCAUACUUUUUCAUUAUUCUAGAGAUCUAUGUAAAAUGUUUGCAUGCAAAUCUCUAAAAUUUGUUUAAGUUAAACUUGCUUCAAUUUAAUGACACAAAUAUCAAUGAAAUAUUUUGGGCCAAAAUUUAAAUUUAUUUGUCAAUUCUUUUGAGUUUUAACACAACACAUGUUUGUUUUAUUAAAAUAGUUUUCCAUUAUUAUUAAUACAUGCUUAUUAUUAACCAGCAAUCGUACAUAUCUCUCUCCUCUAUUAAGAUUUUACCGAUGGAAACAAUAAGCCGGGUCAAUUAUCUUUUUCCUUGACUCGUAGUUUACACCUACAAAUCCAAACAAAUGUAUUCUUAAAUGUUUUGCAUUGCACUAAUACAAACCAGGCAAGUUAAAGAACACCAAUACAUGAACAAAUUUGUUUCACCAAUACCAUCUUUCAUUUAUUCAUACUUUUAUCACAUAGCUCUUUUCUGAGGCAGACUGGAGUAGGUCUGUCAUACAAACAUCUCUUACGCCUACUAUGUAACAUCGGUAAUGCUAUUAAUGUAUUAGUGUGAUUUGCCCCUUCCUUACAUAUUCACAAACACCACGAACUGUAUGUAACUCUCACACCGUUUCCCAUAUAUCUACAAAUCAAGGGAUCGUUGUGGUUGACGUAUUUACUUUUGGAGCAAAGAGCAGCACAAGUCUCCCUUUGUAGCGUUUUUCAUUACCGAAUAUUUUCUACCUCGUGCCAUACCAGAACCAGCGUGUGCACUACCUAACUAGAGCUCGUGUCUGGAACAGUUUUUCACCAAAACGUGUUCAAACGUUGCCGGGAAAACAUCGUAUUAUCAAGGAAUCUGCAAUAGUUUGUUUGAUAACACAAGUUAUUAGUGUGCAAAGCAAAAUUCGGUGGGCAGUGACUUUUGUUCAAUUCUUCAUAAACAUCGCUAACAUAACAACUGAAGUGCAAAGCCAACUAAACCAUACAUAGCUAAUGAUUACCGUACAGAAAUUAUUUUUGGCAAAAAGAGCAUAGACGCUUUAAGAUAUGUAAACAAUCCAAAAAUAAGAAUGCAUUUGUUGGACAACAUAUUCAUCGAUCUCCAUAUGAUUUGCGAAAAUCAUCAAAAACCGCCUGUAUCGCAUUGGUAUCCUUCGAAUUAUCGGUUUCACAAAUUCAGUACUUAUUUUUUAACAUAUUCAUACAUACUUUUUUUUUGACUGAUAAACUCUUUCGCGUUUAUUGUUUUUUAAUUACGUGUAAUUUUGUUGUUUUGCUUUAUUUUGUUUAUCACAGGUUAAAAAAUCACAGUGUCCCGUACUACAAGUCGUAGGGAGUAUUACAGAUCAAAACUGAAAGCUGCAUUUCAAUCAUAUAAAUACAAAUAUUCAAAAGGCUGGUAACCAUCUGUUCGGAAUCCGUAACAUCAAGAUAUAAUAGCAUAAGUACAUGUCAUAAACAUGUCGUAAAUUUGUAAUAUAUCAAUGUGAACAACUCCAAAUGUAUAUGUAACGCUUUGAUUUAGCAUGGGAUUCAAACAUUUAAAGAUACGAAUAAAUUCCCAUUUAUUCCAUCUGAUCCUAUUCGUGAAACAUAUAUGUGUUAUCAUCCUCUUAGAUGUUAUCAAAACAAAAAUGUGUCUAUUGCAAAGAAUAUUAUUAACUAUUAAUAGUCAAAACUAAGACAGUUUAAUCCAAAGAUAUAACUGUUAUCAUUCGAUCGAUAAAAUAUGACCUUUUGACGAGAAUGCUUACACCUUGCACGACAAUGAGAUCAGAAAAGAUUUCCAGAUAAAUAUAAAGAAAGGAAAAUCGUGAGUUGGUUCGGUAUUAUCUGUAGGAAAGAUCCCUGAAUGUUGAGACUGAUAAAUCGAAUUGGCAGCAAUAGCACGGCAGAACCUGUUUCUUCAACGAGAAUGUGCGGGAGCAGGUUUUCGGCAUACUUCCAUCGCACUCUGUUCUUUUACUCGUGGGUAGCUGAAGUGCUUUAAUAUUUGAAAGAGCAAGGCACGCUCUUUUAUGUAUGUGUGUGUGUUUUUUAUUACUGAAGCAACCUUUGUCAAUUGCCGGUAGCUGCGUCUGCUGCUAUUGUGCUACAACGUUUUCGGUCGUCGCUCGCAAGUUUUGGUACGGACAGUAUAUGCAACACGCUACACUCUCACAACUCAACCAUACGGCCAGCGGGACACAUCGUUGUCAUCUUUAACGUCAUCGCAGUAGACCGGACUACUCUCGUUGGCAUCAUAAUCAUAGCUGUGUUUGCUUCCUGAACUCGUUCUCGUUUCCUACGCAUUUCACACUGUUACUGUUUGCGAAAGAUGUGAUUCAUCCUUUAAUUACACUGCAAUACAUAGUUGAUGAGCUGGAUGGAAUUUGAGUAUAGAUCACACGCAUCUGUGCAGAGUGGUAAAUCAUCGAAUUUCGAAGGAAAAUAUUAUUUGAACAUGUGCUCUUGUUCGUGUGUCAGAGUUUUUAUACAUCUUUAUUAGAGCGGUAUAAGAAAUCUGGUGAUGUAGUGAGCCAAUAUUUCAUCAAAUCCAACGAAGUGAAUUAUCAGUGAAUGAGCGUUGUUCGAGUGCCGCUUCAUGAACGUAUACUGAAUGUAUCCUGAGUGCUACUUAUCCGGUAUACCUUCAGUAUACGUAACAAGAGGCGACACAAUCAUCGUUGAUGUCGUGAUAUGGAUACGGUUUUUGUACAUAAUUCAACACAUUGCAUUACAAUAUAAAACAAUACUCUAUGCUUAAACGUUCGUUUCCGAGAUAUAAGAGAAUUAUUCUGAUGGGUGAAAUUGAAGAAUUGCCUUCGUGUAUACGCUUUUAAAAUAUGUUAAUGUCAAUUGUGUGGUUAAUGUAUCUGCAAGAUACAAAUCAUGUGUGUCAAUUAUUGUUUUAACUCUCCUCAUAUCAUGUGACAUUGUUUAAUGAAUUAUACAUGUGUACUUCUAAAAUUUGGCGCAUAAUUACAUCACAAAAGCAUACAUUACGCACAUCAUAAUAAAUAAUGAAGCUAACGUAAGGAUAAAACUUUUUUAGGAGUAUGAAAUUGUAUUGAAGGCCCUAGAAUAAUGUGACUGAGAGCAAAUUAAUUGAUAAGGACGAAGUAGCCGUAUUGAGAAAUGUAGUGCCUAUCAGCUUCAUACUACAUGAAGAGAAGGAGAAAGAGAGAGAGAGAGAGAGAAAGAGAGCGAGAGAGAGAGAAAGAGAUAGAGAGAGUGAGUUAAAUGGAUAGAUAGAUAGAUAGACCGAAAAAGAGAGAGAGAGAAAGAGAGAGAGAAAGAGAGGGAGAGAGAGAGAGAGAGAGAGAGAGAGAGAGAGAGAGAGAGAGAGAG